GAUGAACGCUAGCGGCAGGCUUAACACAUGCAAGUCGAGGGGCAGCAUGAGGAGUCAGCAAUGACACCUUGAUGGCGACCGGCGCAAGGGUGCGUAACGCGUGAGCAACCUGCCCGUCACGGGGGGAUAACCGGUGGAAACGCCGACUAAUAUCCCAUAGUUCUUUUAGGGGCAUCCCUUUAAAGAUAAAGGCUUCGGCCGGUGACGGAUGGGCUCGCGUGACAUUAGGCAGUAGGCGGGGUAACGGCCCACCUAACCUACGAUGUCUAGGGGUUCUGAGAGGAAGGUCCCCCACACUGGAACUGAGACACGGUCCAG
rnacentral:rRNA from 1 species